GAUGAACGCUGGCGGCGUGCCUAAUACAUGCAAGUCGAGCGAACGGACGAGAAGCUUGCUUCUCUGAUGUUAGCGGCGGACGGGUGAGUAACACGUGGAUAACCUACCUAUAAGACUGGGAUAACUUCGGGAAACCGGAGUUAAUACCGGAUAAUAUUUUGAACCGCAUGGUUCAAAAGUGAAAGACGGUCUUGCUGUCAUUUAUAGAUGGAUCCGCGCUGCAUUAGCUAGUUGGUAAGGUAACGGCUUACCAAGGCAACGAUGCAUAGCCGACCUGAGAGGGUGAUCGGCCACACUGGAACUGAGACACGGUCCAGACUCCUACGGGAGGCAGCAGUAGGGAAUCUUCCGCAAUGGGCGAAAGCCUGACGGAGCAACGCCGCGUGAGUGAUGAAGGUCUUCGGAUCGUAAAACUCUGUUAUUAGGGAAGAACAUAUGUGUAAGUAACUGUGCACAUCUUGACGGUACCUAAUCAGAAAGCCACGGCUAACUACGUG
rnacentral:rRNA from 1 species